UUUUUUUUUUUUUUUUUUUUGUCUUUUUUGCCUUUUCUAGGGCUGCUCUCGCAGCAUACGGAGGUUCCCAGGCUAGGGGUCUAAUCAGAGCUACAGCCACCAGUUUACACCAGAGCCACAGCAAUGGGGGAUCUGAGCCGAGUCUGCGACCUACACCACAGCUCGAGGCAACACCGGAUCCUUAACCCUCUGAGCAAGGCCAGGGAUCAACUCUGCAACCUCAUGGUUCCUAGUCGCAUUCGUUAACCACGACGCCACGACGGGAACUCCCUGACCUUUUUUUUUUUUUUAAUCCUUCUCCAGAAAUAUUUGAUUUUAAAAAUGUUGAAGUACUCUUUUGCUUGUAAAACUUUGUUCUUGGCCACACCUGAGGCAUGGGGAAGUUCCUGGGUCAGGGGUCAAAUACGCACCACAGCAACCCAAGCCAUUGCAGUGACAAUGCUGGAUCCUUAACCCCCUGUGACACAAAGGAGCUCCGAAAAGUGUGGAACCUUGGUAAGCAUGAACAGGCCACAGAAUGGUAACUAAGAUCCCUUAAAGUUCCAACAUUCUCUUAUCCUAUCAUAUCCCUUUGAAAAAGAAUCUAUCCAACUAUAUGACAUUCCAGAGAAGGGAAAAACUCUAGAGGUAAUAAAAAGACCAGUGGUUGCCAGAAGUUAGGGAUGAGGGUUGACUGGGUAAAGCACAGAGGAUUUUUAGGGAAGUGAAACUACUCUGUGAGAUACUAUAAUGGUAGACACAUGCCAUUAAAUAUUUGUCAAAACCCACGGAAUGUAAAAUACCAAGAGUGAACCCUAAUACAAACUGUGGACUUUGAAUGACAAAAUGUGUCACUUCUGGUUAAGGGAUUGUACCAAAUGUACCACUCUGGUUCCAGAUGUUAAGAGCAGGUGAGGCUGUGCAGGUAGGGAGCUGGAAGUAGAAGGAACUUUGUACUUACUGCUUAAUUUUGCUGUGAAACCCAAACCUGCUCUAAAAAAUAAAAUCUAUGUUUUAACAAGAAUUAACACUACUAAACAUCCUAAAAUAAUAGUAUAUAUCCUCCAACUGAAAAGGGGUCAGGGGGCGUGGGUAGAACAGUUGAGGAAGAGGUUAAAUCUCCUACAGCCAGAAAAGGAAAAGCGUAAGGAAAAGCCGCCUGAGUGCUGGAGGGCCUGCCUGUGACAUCACAGAAUACUUGGCAGAGAAGAUGUGUGUUUCUGUUUGGUCUAGAGAUGAGCUAGAGAGGAACCAGCAACACUAGUCAUCAGACACCAGCAUUCUCUUUGAAGAACCGUUUUUGAUGCUUAGAAACACUGCACAGAAAAGCCAGACUAGUGCCAUUCCACAUACACACACAACCAUACAUCAUUUUGAAUUUUAUGUCUGGCUAUUUCUCCUCAUUUUUGGUAAAGUAACUGCCCAGAUAUAAUCUCUGUUUUCAAUUCAGAGAAUCAGGGGACUUGUUGGCUAAUCCCAAAAGUGACAAACCGACCAAAGCAGCCAUCAAAUGUACUGCCACAUGCAACCGGCUUGCCAAAAAUCAGUUAUAAAAGCAGGAUCUGGGACUUUAAAUAUAAGAAAUUAGCUUUCAAAGACAUCAAGUUCUAAUUAAGUUUUAAAAUUUAAUGAGAAACACCACUGCUAACAUCCCGUGAUAAUUAUUGCACUGAGUGGAAUAUGAGGAGGCACAGAGAGACCAGAUUCAACCCAUGUGAGAGGAAGUCUUCCCAAGCAUCAAAUAAAAGUCUCACAUGUCAGAGACAUAAGUUGUCCACACGUUCAUGCACACGCAACUGACUUUUCAUCAAGGAUCUACUUACUAGAAUUGUCUUUUGGAAGCUCAAAGGUCAUGAAAGAAAUGCUAUCUGGGUGAAUUAUCUUUAAAUAUCUUUUAAGUGAGAAUAUAUGUGAAGACUUAUCCCUCUACCUGACCUUCAAAAAUUCAAGUUUUAACAUAAGAGCCUGGUUUUUCAAAACGGCAAGCACAAGCUUUUAAAGGAGAUCCAUAUUGCCUAUGGGAGUUGACUUGUGUGUCAUUCACAGUUGAGGUGACCUGACCUGGUGACCUAGCUGGCCAACUGAUGGGACCCCAGGGGGCAAAGGAAUGCAGGUUGUCCCCCCUCCAUGAUGAAAUCAGCUCUUUCAGGGUUGCCUCUCCAGAGCAGUGCCUUCAUGCAGGAGCCCUGCACCCCUGGAGCACAUGAAGCCUUUGUCCGAGGUUCGCAGGCAGAGGCUGUGGGAAUCAGAGUCCGCAUCCUCAGCUUCCAAAUGCCUGUGGCUCAGAAGGCUGGCUGCUGCUUUUUUCGCACAUCUCUCUUGCCGAUCUUCUCCCACGUGACAAAAGGUAGACCAACCUCUCACCCAUUAUGAUUCUGAUCAAGGGAACUGCCCCCAAGUGUGAAAACAUCCCAGUGCCACAGAAAGGGCACAUUCAAAACACUGCAGGUCAGAGUUCCCCUUGUGGUUCAGCGAGUUAAGAACCCGACUAGUAUCCAUGAAGAUGUGGGUUCCAUUCCUGGCCUCAUUCAGUGGGUUAAGGAUCCAGCACUGCCAUGAUCUGUGGUGUAGGUUGCAGACUCAGCUCAGAUGUGGCAUUGCUAUGGCUGUGGCAUAGACUGGCAACUGUAACCCCUACCCUGGGAACUUUCAUAUGCCAC
rnacentral:lncRNA from 1 species